CAGACUCUCUGUAUGAGCAGCUGAAGAACAAUUCAUCAGUGACACUGUACAAAGUAUCAGAGGAGAAAAUAAAGGCCAGCUGCGAAUUGGUUCACCCCAACCUGAAAGCAGUUCCCGGGACACUGAAAAUACACCAACUGACAUCCACAAAACCAGGAGUCAUAAAUACACGGGAGGUGUCAUGCUUUUGUAGAAAAAAUUGCCAGUGCUUUUCUACAAAUUGCCACAUGUUCUCUGAGGGAAGAGAUGAGGACCCUGACUGAACAGAGGCCACCAUAGAGGUUGGACAGUGGGUCCUGGUUGAAUACGAUGGUGACUUGUUCCCUGGUACAGUCACACAGAUUGCUGAAGGGCAGUAUGAAGUCGACACCAUGAAUUGUGCAGGGGAGAACCGCUUCUAUGUACCAAGCAUCAGAUUUCCAGGAGAAAGGGUCUGGUACUAUCGUCAGGACAUACGGGACAUAAUCCCAGAACCACUUCCUGUCACCUCCUCUGCUAGACAUUUCUGCAUUUUACCUGACAUAUGGGCAAAACACAAGAAAUGCUCAUGAUUGAGUUACAGUUGAGGGAAAACGUGAUUGGUACAAAGCAGUCGUUCCAGUUGUUUGUUUUAGUUGUUUGACCAACUCAUAAAUAGAGUUGCUGCUAUUCAAGUUCUUCACAUUAAAUUAUUCUCAGAAAAAGGUUGUGUGGUUCAAUGUCAGGACCAAAGUGUUUUAGCUAAACUAAAUUCUUUUUACAAGAGCACUUGAUGCUGUUACAUUUAAAUGUUUCUCAGGACCACAUGAUGAUAUGUUACAUUGAAAAAGUUCUCAUCACAUGGUUGUAUGUUUAACUAUAAUGAUUAAAUGUAUACUAAUGGUUGUAUAAUUGUUAGUACUACAGUGUAGGCUCCAUGACAUGAUUCUUAAGAAGAGCAUAAGAUUGUAACUUGUUAACAGAAGGCAUGGUACUGUGAUGAUUACGAUAAAUGAGAAAAUUAAACACUGUUUAUGAAAUAAAUGUUCUUUUAAAAAUUGUAUGAGUUUUAAAUAUGUAAAAUAGGGUUAGGCAUCAAACCCCUUUGUCAACAGUGAAUGUGUGAGCUAAAUAUAAUUUCCGAAACAUUGAUCCUCAUUACCGAAAUGGCAUUUUCAUUACCGCAACAUGUAUA